AGCACUUUGUCAACAAGUUAACAACCUAUAAUUGUGAAGAAAAAGAUGCACCUAGAGAAUUUCUAGAGGACAUUAACUGUGUUUUCAUUGCACUGUUGCACUGGCCUACAGUCCCACAGCUACAACACUGAAAUCUCAAUCUAUUUCCUCAUUAUUCAUUAUCCUCCUGGUGAUAUUAAAGCCACAGCAUGGUGGUUGACCAAAGAACAGUCACUCUUGCAAUCAGUCUCAAUUCAAAGUAGAGACAGAGGAACCGCAAUCACCCACAAAAGCUUGAGACAUAAGAACCUGUAACCAUGACAGCUGCAUCCUACAAAUGCUACAGAAGACAAUAACACCAGUUCCUCCUGACAAAGCCUGUGUUGACUCAGUUUCCUUUGUAUGCAUUGGCAGUCUCAUAAAGUGCAGUAUCAAUACCACCAUAAACCAGUUUUUAAGGUAUCCUGUCUUUAAAGGAACAGUGUUGAACCUUCCCUCUUUCCAUAGGGUAAUACAGCAAGUAUUUUCCUUGAUGUGCAUCCCUGAGGCACUGAAUGUGUGAACUUUCCAUGACCAGGUUUUUUUAUCUCAACCAAGGGUCAGUAUUUCCAGGUAAAAAUGGUAUGAUUUAGCAUCAACUAGUAAGAAUGGAAGAUUGAAAAAGAUUGGCAUGGAAGAUUGUUGUCCUGGUUUAGUUGACAGUUACACAGACCUGCUGUAGAGGAAAUGUCACGGCCUGAAACUGUGAUUGAGCACCUGGUGGGAAGGCAGGGCCAAUAAAAGCUCAGGUGCAAGCAAUGCACAUAAAUGACCAGAAGGGUUGGCAGUGGAAGCAAGAGCAUGUUUUGUUGGAGGUCCCUGCUUACUGGAGGUCUUCUACAGCUGCCACAGGUUUAUUUCAUCCACCAUAGAGAAAAGUGACCCCAGGUAUACCAGGCACAUCUGUGAGAACUCCCAUCAACUGCACUGACUGCAACUGGUCCUGCAUCCUGUCAAGUCCCAGGAGUGAGACACAAGGGUCUAUUUUUAUUUAUUUUUUUUCCAAGCAGCAGAAAACUAAAAUUAUGGGCUUCAAAGGGUCCUGCAACUGUACCAAACACGAUCCAGAUGCAAGAGUGAAGAAAAUAUUUACAAUAUGAUCCAGCUAUGGGUUCAACCAGCCACAACCACCCCAUCAGCCUUCUCAAUGUCUCCCUUUGUCCUCUAUCACAGAUGAAUAAAGCGCCUGUGGGAAAUGAUUUGCUGAUAAAGUAAUAGUAAUUCUUCUUUCCAAAAUAUGUUUGGCAACACAGAAAGCUAUUCUGAUCACUGUACUCGGGCUGCUCCCAGCAUUAAAAAAAAAUAGCUAGAAGCAGAAGCCUUUAAGCAGGAGCUGGCACAGUGCUCACUACAAGCAGAAAGCAGCAACAAAGGUGAAGGGAACUCUGUGGGGCAUUACCCUGAGAGCUGCAAGGCACACUGCUGAAGGUCCUACCCCAGUGUCUCUGCAUAGCAAUUAAAGAGAGGUCAUAAAUUCCACCACCCUUAAGCAGAAGCACAAGAACAUUUGACAAGCAGAGAGCUUGGGAAAGAUGCCAAGCAAUGUUCCUGUGGCAGGUUGUUGUGCACCCUUCAUCUAGAAAUGUCCUGGGGUUGUUUUGCAUCACCCCAUGCUUCCAAAAAGCUGAGGUCUUGACAGCAUCCACUUGGUUUAUUUACUGACUGGAAGGGAUGAAAAGCAGAGUGCAUUGCAUACAGCUUUCCCUGCCCAACUCCACAGCUCCCUGCCUCCAGCUGCAAGCUCAGCAACACCAAGUCUUCAAGCUCAACAGAGUGCUGUGCUGCAGCUGUGCCCUGCUCUGUAGAAAAGCACUUCCACUAACUUUUCCUGUCAGCCUCAGCACUUAAUACUGCUGCUGUUCCCCUCCCCAGGAGAACAGAGCUUCCACUUAACUCACUGAAGCCACCUGCUCUCCCCUCAGCAAGCUGCCUAUCUUCUGUAAUGCAUCUCCCUUACCAAAGGACGUUUGGUCCCCUAGCCCUUGCUCACCCAAGUCAGUUUGCAUUGACAGGACGAUGAGCUACAUCUCAUGAGGGUCUUCCCUCCAGAUAGAUCCAAAGCACUUUGUAAGCAAUUAGCACUGUAUGGCAAAUUCCAUUUGGAUGUUGACAAGCAGGUAUUUUACCACCAGCCCAGCACAAGAAAUGAGAACUCUUGGUAAGGAAACUCAGAGUGUGCAUGACCCACAGGUACCAAUCAGAUGAUUUACAGUUCCAUCUAAACAAGCACCUUACAAGGCAUGCCAAUUCUCUCCCUCCACUGCUCCCAGGGAGGGGUUGCUCCAGAGUCUCACUGAGCUCCUGGAGAUGGAUGACCAGUUUCUUACCUCUGUUUGCCAUCACAUGAGAUCGAUCUCACACCACAGUGGCACAUCUCUUGUGAACUGCUGCUGAGACAGAAAGGCCAACAGGGGAUAAAUUAAAAAAAAAAAAAGUUACUAAAAUGGCUUUCCUGUUUUCUAGUUUUUAAUGUUCCUUGUAUUCUGCCCUUUCCCCACAGGUUAAAAAUUACUUCUUCAGGGUUCCCACCUCUAGAUUUUCAGUCAUUGAUGGGAGCCAAAACCUCUAUAUCCCACACAAGAUUUUGAGACUGAAAAACGAAAAUAACAGGAGAGGAAAAAAAUAUUUGCAAAUAAAAAGCAUUAUUGCUCUAUUGGCUUUUCUCAUGGAAUGGGAGUCAUAGAGCAGCCUGUUUUCUUAGACCUUCUGAAUAAUUCUUUGACUCUACUGAUAGUGAAUUAAGACCCAUGCUUAUCAAACACUUCUGUUACCCAAUGUAAUCACAUGGACAAAGCCUGCCUGGAUGCACAUUCUCAUUCAGACAAAUCCAGGAACCCAGUACAUGAAAAAACUGAAGUGCAGCAAGAAUACUGGAAGACAGAGUACAGAGGUCAGCUUCCCUUAUAACACCAAGGAUGCCCUCAUCUAAAAUCCAAACUGCCCCUGACCCAAAAAUGGACAGUGUGGAGGUAGAUCAGGAUGGACUUAGAAGGAUUCAGUUUGUUUCAUACCCUGGCCAACAAAGGUCAGCUAGAGAGAUAACCAAAGAUGUUUUACCUGUGCCAUGAGGUGAAGGACAAAGGGAAGUUGCUGCAAUUUCUCUGUCUAGGAGUAGUUAUAACACAGACAGUGCCAAAAUGAAACAAGGAUCCUUUCAAGCCAGGAUAGUGUUUAACUUAUCAUGCUUGUAUUUUUAGUGUGCCCGGAAAAAUGACCAAAUAGGUAACUUCAAUGUGGAAAUUUCCACUUUAAACUAGUAUUCUUCCAAAAAAAAGGAAAAAAAAA